GCAGUCGAGCGAACUGAUUAGAAGCUUGCUUCUAUGACGUUAGCGGCGGACGGGUGAGUAACACGUGGGCAACCUGCCUGUAAGACUGGGAUAACUUCGGGAAACCGAAGCUAAUACCGGAUAGGAUCUUCUCCUUCAUGGGAGAUGAUUGAAAGAUGGUUUCGGCUAUCACUUACAGAUGGGCCCGCGGUGCAUUAGCUAGUUGGUGAGGUAACGGCUCACCAAGGCAACGAUGCAUAGCCGACCUGAGAGGGUGAUCGGCCACACUGGGACUGAGACACGGCCCAGACUCCUACGGGAGGCAGCAGUAGGGAAUCUUCCGCAAUGGACGAAAGUCUGACGGAGCAACGCCGCGUGAGUGAUGAAGGCUUUCGGGUCGUAAAACUCUGUUGUUAGGGAAGAACAAGUACGAGAGUAACUGCUCGUACCUUGACGGUACCUAACCAGAAAGCCACGGCUAACUACGUGCCAGCAGCCGCGGUAAUACGUAGGUGGCAAGCGUUAUCCGGAAUUAUUGGGCGUAAAGCGCGCGCAGGCGGUUUCUUAAGUCUGAUGUGAAAGCCCACGGCUCAACCGUGGAGGGUCAUUGGAAACUGGGGAACUUGAGUGCAGAAGAGAAAAGCGGAAUUCCACGUGUAGCGGUGAAAUGCGUAGAGAUGUGGAGGAACACCAGUGGCGAAGGCGGCU
rnacentral:rRNA from 2 species